GGGAAUAUUGCACAAUGGAGGAAACUCUGAUGCAGUGACACCGCGUAUAGGAAGAAGGUUUUCGGAUUGUAAACUUCUGUCGCGAGGGAUGAAGAAUGACGGUACCUCGUAAGAAAGCCCCGGCAAACUACGUGCCAGCAGCCGCGGUAAUACGUAGGGGGCGAGCGUUGUCCGGAAUGACUGGGCGUAAAGGGAGUGUAGGCGGCCUUUUAAGUUAUGUGUGAAAGCCCACGGCUCAACUGUGGAAUUGCACAUAAAACUGGGAGGCUGGAGUGCAGGAGAGGUAAGCGGAAUUUCCAGUGUAGCGGUGGAAUGCGUAGAUAUUGGGAAGAACACCGGAGGCGAAGGCGGCUUACUGGACUGUAACUGACGCUGAGGCUCGAAAGCGUGGGGAGCAAACAG
rnacentral:rRNA from 1 species